rnacentral:rRNA from 1 species
UACGGAGGGUGCAAGCGUUAUCCGGAUUCACUGGGUUUAAAGGGUGCGUAGGUGGGUCUGUAAGUCAGUGGUGAAAUCUCCGUGCUUAACAUGGAAACUGCCAUUGAUACUAUAGGUCUUGAAUUUUCUGGAGGUAAGCGGAAUAUGUCAUGUAGCGGUGAAAUGCUUAGAUAUGACAUAGAACACCAAUUGCGAAGGCAGCUUGCUACAGGGAUAUUGACACUGAGGCACGAAAGCGUGGGGGAUCAAACAGG